rnacentral:miRNA from 1 species
UAUCAAUCAUCAAAUGUUCGU